UUUCCACUAUGAAUAUAAGCAAGUCAAAAUGCAGAACAAAAUGAUCUGAUACACACCUUGCUGCAAUCCUGAAGGAUUCAACUGCACAGUCACUGAGGCCAAACAUCAACGGACUCACAGAAAUGAACCAUUGACAGGUGUCUGGCAACAUUAAAAAAUCUUUGGCAAACCCAAAUUGUAAAAAAGUUCUAUGACAGUUCAGUGUAAUACUUCAUGAAAGAAGGUUUUUUUUUUUGUUUUUUUUUAACCAAUACCAUCUUCUGUGAUGUCAUUGGCCCUACAUUAGGAUAUCUGGCUCGACAUUGGCCCGCAUGUAAAUUGAGUUUGAGAUUUACUUUUUCUUCUGGUGCAGAAUAGUAUAUUAAGUUUUAUAAAUGCCCAAAUCACAUAUUGAAAUAUAAUUAUUAUUUCAACACAGGAUUUAACAUUUGCCAAAUUCUGCCCAGCAAUACUGAUUUCUUUCUUUCAGACACUGUGAGACAAGUUCUGUGACUUUGCCCGGGACACGGGGAGCAUUGGGCAGGAGCGGGUGGACAAUGUGAAUCGUGUGAUAGACGGCCUGAUCGACAGGGAGCACAGCGAAGCAGCCACCAUGGCAGAGUGGAAAGACAAUCUGAACGAGAGCUGGGGGACCUGCUAGAGCUACUCCACAAGUACUUCUAUGAUGGCAAGGCGCUGUUGGCUCUGCUCCAGGAGAAGCACACGCAGCUCCCUGCAGAUGUGUCAGCACAGCCGAGUCCUUCUACAGUCCUUCGAGCGAGACAUCCACACAUUCAGGAAACAGGGAUGUCUCUUCAGUGAAGUUACUAAUGAAAUACCACCAGGGCAUUAAAGCUGAGAUAGACACGAGGAACAGGAGCUUCAGUAUGUGUGUGGACCUUGCCAUGGCACUGUUAGCAUGCAAACACCAGGCUUCACUGGAGAUUAAAGAAAAACUAAUCCAGCUGAUGGAGAAAAAGAAGGAGAUGCUGGUGAAAUGGGAUGACAGGUGGAACUGGCUGUGCCUACGUGAAUUCUGCUUGUACUGCGCUGCACUGGAGAGAUUGUACUGCGCUGCACUGGAGAGAUUGUACUGCGCUGCACUGGAGUGAUUGUACUGUGCUGCA